rnacentral:rRNA from 1 species
CCCAAGAGAUCGGGAUAACACCUGGAAACAGAUGCUAAUACCGGAUAACAAUAGAUGAUGCCUAUCAACUGUUUAAAAGAUGGUUCUGCUAUCACUCUUGGAUGGACCUGCGGUGCAUUAGCUAGUUGGUAGGGUAACGGCCUACCAAGGCGAUGAUGCAUAGCCGAGUUGAGAGACUGAUCGGCCACAUUGGGACUGAGACACGGCCCAAACUCCUACGGGAGGCAGCAGCAGAC